rfam:Tupaia chinensis contig210322, whole genome shotgun sequence.
GUGCUUGCUUCAGCAGCACAUAUAGUAAAAUUGAAAGGAUACAGAGAAGAUUAGCCUGACCCCUGUGUCAAGAAUGACACAAAAAAUCGUGAAGUGUUCCGUAUUUUU